UACGUAGGGGGCAAGCGUUGUUCGGAAUUACUGGGCGUAAAGGGCUCGUAGGCGGUUUGUCGCGUCGGGAGUGAAAACACCGGGCUUAACUCGGUGCUUGCUUUCGAUACGGGCAGACUUGAGGCAUGCAGGGGAGAACGGAAUUCCUGGUGUAGCGGUGAAAUGCGCAGAUAUCAGGAGGAACACCGGUGGCGAAGGCGGUUCUCUGGGCAUGUUCUGACGCUGAGGAGCGAAAGUGUGGGGAGCGAACAGG
rnacentral:rRNA from 1 species